GCAAGUCGAACGGUAGCAGGAUGUGCUUGCACAUCGCUGACGAGUGGCGGACGGGUGAGUAAUGCUUGGGAACUUGCCUUUGCGAGGGGGAUAACAGUUGGAAACGACUGCUAAUACCGCAUAAUGUGCUCUUGAAAAAGUGUACCAAACGGGGCUUAGGCUCCGGCGCAGAGAGAGGCCCAAGUGAGAUUAGCUAGUUGGUGGGGUAAAGGCUCACCAAGGCGACGAUCUCUAGCUGUUCUGAGAGGAAGAUC
rnacentral:rRNA from 1 species